rnacentral:rRNA from 1 species
AAGUCAGUUGUGAAAGUUUGCGGCUCAACCCGCGGACGGCACAUGAUACUGCGAGACUAGAGUAAUGGAGGGGGAACCGGAAUGCUCGGUGUAGCAGUGAAAUGCGUAGAUAUCGAGAGGAACACUCGUGGCGAAGGCGGGUUCCUGGACAUUAACUGACGCUGAGGCACGAAGGCCAGGGGAGCGAAAGG